AUUGAACGCUGGCGGCAGGCCGAACACAUGCAAGUCGAACGCGUGGCGGACGGGUGAGUAAUGUCUGGGAAACUGCCUGAUGGCGGGGGAUAACUACUGGAAACGGUAGCUAAUACCGCAUACCAUCGGAUGUGCCCAGAUGGGAUUAGCUAGUAGGUGGGGUAAAGGCUCACCUAGGCGACGAUCCCUAGCUGGUCUGAGAGGAUGACCAGCAACACGGGAACUGAGACACGGUCCAGACUCCUACGGGAGGCAGCAGUGGGGAAUAUUGCACAAUGGGCGCAAGCCUGAGGCAGCCAUGCCGCGUGUAUGAAGAAGGCAUUCGGGUUUUAAAGUACUCUCAGCGGGGAGGCGUUACCCGCAGAAGAAGCACCGGCUAACUCCGUGCCAACAGACGCGGUAAUAG
rnacentral:rRNA from 1 species